UUGAGCAGAGACUGCUGCUAUAGCAGGAAGGACACAGCAGCCUUCACCAACGCUCUGUCACUCACUUCCCCCGCUCCAGCCGCGCCACAACCACUACACAGGGAGACGCCGGAAGGGGGAGGUACACAGGACGCACACCAGGAGGAACCACUACGUCUUUCACAUGCCACAAGCAAUAUGACUUUCGGAAUACACUGUUUUUUUUUUUUUUUUUGUACCUUUCAGUCAGUCUCUUAACACCCCUCCUUUUCUCCUCCUGCUCUAUCCAUCUACUCCCCUCCUCUGCUUUUCUACUCCUCCGCUUGUGUUUGAAGGGGGAUUCAUGCCAAGAGAGAGCCUGGCUUGAAUGAGAAUCAGCUGCUGGAGCUCUCCAGGUUAGACAGAAAGAAGGAAGUACCAGUAGAGGACUCAAGGAGCAUUCUCUGCACCUCUCUGCACCCCCAGGAUCUCCAUCUCUAUCUCCUUGGGACGCCUCCUGUCCUCCUCACUCCCCAGGGGUCCUGCGUUGCCCAUCGCUGUGAGCCUCAGCCAGGGUAAACAAUCUAGUGGAUGUAUUGAUAUUGUGUUACUGAGAGGAAAAAGAGUUGAGUUCAAGUCUAGGCCUCGAGCUGUUUUGAUUCUUCCGCUUCCUUGCACACAGCUGACUUCCAAGAGUUAAAAGGAGUAAACUCAUUGGAUUUUGAGUUUUAUUUUCAUUUUACUUUGCUGCUGCCCUCGUCGCACUGAAAAUUAACCAAAUCAACUAAACACUUGAGACCGGUACAAUUCCAUGACUCUGCAUGCUAACUGGACAUCUUGCACUGAUGAAAUACUGUGACUAGUGAUGUCCGGCCACCAGACAACCUGUCCACUUGACCCCAUCUCCUCCUCCCUUCUCCUGACAAUAUCUGGAGACCAUCUACCAUUCCUCAUGUCCCACAUCAACUCAUUCCUGACCAUUGGCUGCGUACCUUCAGAUGGCCAGUUGCUCCCCUCCUCAAGAAAACAACACUCAACCCCUCUGAUGUCAAAAACUACAGAUCAGUAUCCCUUCUUUCUUUUCCUUCCAAAACACUUGAGCGUGCUGUCUAUGGCCACAUCUCUCGCUAUCUCUCUGAGAAUGAUCUUCUUGACCUUAACCAGUCAGGCUUCAAGGCAGCUCACUCAACUGAGACAACUCUCCUCUGUCAGGGAGGCUCUUCGCUCUGUCAAAGAUGACUCUCUCUCAUCUGUUCUCAUCCUCAUAGAUCUAUCUGCUGCCUUCAACACCAUGAACAGUCAGAUUGUCCUCUUCAUCCUCUCAGGGCGGGACAUCUCAGGCUCUGCACACUGCUGUAUUGCAUUCUACCUGGAAGUUUGCUUCAAACAGAGGAUCUUUGUCUGCACUCAGCUCUGUCAUAUCGAAAGUUUGGGACUAUAAGGUUCUAUAGGCAUUUUUGUCAAAAUGUUGCUAUUGACAUAGCCUUGUUCAGUUCAAUGUCCUCUACCUAUAUAGUACUCUAAAUACCCUAAUUCAUGUUGUUAAGUUCAGAAUAAUACAAUAUAAAAAUUGCUGACACCAUUCAAACAAAUGAGGGUUUCGAAAAUGAACGCCAACCUUCUCAGAAUCAUAUUUUUGCGGAUAGAACCUUUAUAAUCCCAAGCUCUUGAUAUCCUCACAUGGUCUCUCCUAUCAUUGCUACUGUAUGUGGAUGGUGCUCAACUUCUUUUCUCCUUCUCCACUUCUGAUACCCAGGUGGUGACACAUCUCUGCAUACUUGGCAGACAUCUCAGCUUGGAUGUUGGCCCACCACCUCAGGCUCAAUCUCAACACGAUGAAGCUGCUCUUCCUCCUGGGGAAGGCCUGCCCGCUCCAAGACAUCUCCAUCACAGUUGAUAACUCCAGGGUGUCUCCCUCCCAGAGUGCAAAGAACCUUGGCGUGACCCUGGACAACACCCUGUCAUUCUCUGCAAACAUCAAGCAGUGAUUCACUCCUGCAGGUUCACGCUCUACAACAGCCGUAGAGUAUAAUCUUUCCUCACACAGGAAGCAGAGCAGGUACUGAUCUAGGCACUUGUCAUUUCCCGUCUACACUACUGCAACUCUCUGUUGACUGGGCUCCCCACUUGUGCCUUCAAACCUCUGGUGCCUGGUGUUCAACCUUCCCAAGUUCUCCCAUGCCACCACGCUCUUCUGCACACUCCACUGGCUUCCAGUCGAAGCUCACAUAAUCUUCAAGACCUUGGUGCUUGCCUAUGCAGCAGCAAUGGGAACUGUGGUCAAACCCUACACCCCAACUGAAACACUCUGUUCUGCCACCUCUGGUCUCUUGGCCCUGCCACCCUAUUGGAAGGGCAGUUCCCGCUCAUCCUUGUCAAAGCUAUUCUCUGUCCUAGCAUGCCGAUGAUGGAACAAUUUUCACCGUAAUGUCAGGACAGCGAAGUCCCUGCCCAUCUCCCGAUAACUUCUGAAACUUUAAAGAGUAUCUCAAAUAGUGGUGGGAAAAGUACCCAAUUGCCUGACAAGUAAAAGUUAAGAUGGCGUCAUAGAAAAUGACUCACGUAAAGGUGAAAGUCGCCCAAUAAAAUGCUAAUUGUGUAAAAGUCUAAAAGUAUUUGGUUUUAAAUACACUUACUGUAUGAAUCAAAAGUAAAUGUAAUUAAAAAAUAUAUUUAAGUAUCAAAAGUAAAAGCAUAACAUUUUCAGAUUGCUAAUAUUAAGCAAACCAAAUGGCACAAAUUCUUUUUUUUUCAAUUUACAGAUAGCCAGGGGCACAGUAAAAAAUGCAGACAUAAUUUACAAACAAAGCAUUUGCAUUUAGUGAGUCUGCCAGAUCAGAGGCAGUAGGGAUGACCAGGGAUGUUCUCUUGAUAAGUGUGUGAAUUCGACCAUGUUCUUGUCCUGCUAUUAAUGAGUACUUUUGGGUGUCAGCGAAAAUGUGUAGAGUAAAAAGUACAAUAUUUUUACUAGGAAUGUAGUAAAGUAGAAGUUGAAGUUGUUAAAAAUAUGAAUAGUAAUGUACAGAUACACAAAAAGUGAGUUCCAGAGCCUGUAAAGCUUCAUGCACUCUGGAUAAAUGUUAAAUGGCGACCGGUAAUGGGCUUCGGAUAACCAAAAUGUGUAAACAGUAUCCUGCAUUAUAUUAAAUUCAUCUAUGCAUUUUGAA